AUGCGGCUCCGGAGCCGCAGGUUGCCAACCCCUGUGCUAGACAGUGAUCGUGAUUACCGUCCGCGGGACGCCGUUAGUAAUGCCGUUACUUGUAACGCUGUUAUUCCCAUCACUGGUCACGACACUGAUGUCCUGACUGCUUAUCAGCUGAUUGGUCCUUUCAUAGUUUAUCAGAGGACAAAGAAACUUGAUUUAGUUUGGACAAUCCACCAAUCACAGAGCUCCAUCAGGGACCUUACAGUAACUACAUUCACCAGCAGAGCUGCUGAUCUUCAUCGUGCACAGAAACAUUCAGCUUGUUUCAAUCAGUAAAUAACUCCCACUACUCUCAGUUUGAACUGUUCCCACUCAAAAUGCUGUCAGAACAAUGAUCAUUGUAGAACUUCACAAACAUCACGUGUUGUUUUCCACAUGUAAGAUCAGCAAACAUACAGAAACUUCCUGUUGCCACACACGGCCUCUAAAAUCUCUUCCACGGUUUCUGUCUGAAGUCCACUCUCUGUGUCGGAUCCACAGGAAACAACAAGAUCUUAUUAACAUGGUUUUCAAUGUGUCUCCUUCCAAAAAGUCCAACCAAUGAACAAAUGUGUAUAUUUGUGGAGGCCGAACAAAAGCAUGACACAUUUCUCUGUUUCUAUAAACUGGAGUCAAACACAAAUAUGAAGAGUUUCAUUGACAGACUCCAAAAUGCCCCCGCAGUGAAUCAAAGGGAAAUCCUACAGUGUGGCAGAGAAUCUUAAUGGCUCCAACAUCAACACAUCCACAAUGUUGGAUCCAGUUCUACCUCACAGUUUCAAUUUGUUUUUGCGCUUUUCAAUUUGUUUUUGCGUUAAGUGAAUUUGUUUUUGCGCUUUUCAAUUUGUUUUUGCUUUAAGUGAUUUGUUGUUGCGCUUUUCAAUUUGUUUUUGCGUUUAGUGAAUUUGUUUUUGCGCUUUUCAAUUUGUUUUUGCGUUAAGUGAAUUUGUUUUUGCGCUUUUCAAUUUGUUUUUGCGUUAAGUGAAUUUGUUGUUGCGCUUUUCAAUUUGUUUUUGCGUUAAGUGAUUUGUUGUUGCGCUUUUCAAUUUGUUUUUGCGUUAAGUGAAUUUGUUGUUGCGCUUUUCAAUUUGUUUUUGCAUUAAGUGAUUUGUUGUUGCGCUUUUCAAUUUGUUUUUGCGCUUUUCAAUUUGUUUUUGCGUUAAGUGAAUUUGUUUUUGCGCUUUUCAAUUUGUUUUUGCGUUAAGUGAUUUGUUGUUGCGCUUUUCAAUUUGUUUUUGCACUUUUCAAUUUGUUGUGCGUUUUGUGAUUUGUUUUUGUGGUUUGCACUUCAGGGCCACCGUAGUGCCCUCUAUCAGUCUGGGUCAUACCGAGUUUAAAGCUGCUACCACAGCGAGAUUUGAUCGGUUAAGAGAGAGAGCGAGAUCAAAACAGCCACGAAAAGUCCGGCAUAUAUGUGCCCAAGGGUUGUACUGAAGCAAUCAAGUGAUGAAUAACUGUUUUCCAGUAUGUUGUUUUGCAAUGUUUUUUUUGUUUGUUUGUUUUGCAUUGUUGACUUGUUUUUUACCGAAGCAGCUAAUAAACCAUGAUG
rnacentral:lncRNA from 1 species